AAGGUAUGCUCAGUACGCUUGGUAACCGUACGUGGAGUGCAAUAGCAAAAGCAUGCUUGACUGUGAGGCCUACAAGCCGAGCAGGUACGAAAGUAGGAUAUAGUGAUCCGGUGGUUCUGCAUGGAAGGGCCAUCGCUCAAAGGAUAAAAGGUACGCUGGGGAUAACAGGCUGAUCUCCCCCAAGAGCUCAUAUCGACGGGGAGGUUUGGCACCUCGAUGUCGGCUCGUCACAUCCUGGGGCUGGAGAAGGUCCCAAGGGUUCGGCUGUUCGCCGAUUAAAGUGGCACGCGAGCUGGGUUCAGAACGUCGCGAGACAGUUCGGUCCCUAUCUGUUGUGGGCGUAGGAUAUUUGAGUGGACCUGACCUUAGUACGAGAGGACCGGGUUGGACGAACCUCUAGUGAAUCUGUUAUGGCGCCAGCUGUACUGCAGAGUAGCUACGUUCGGUCGAGAUAAGCGCUGAAAGCAUCUAAGCGCGAAACUCACCACAAGAUGAGAUAUCCAUACAGGAUCGUGAGAGACUAUCACGUUGAUAGGCUACAGAUGUAAAGGCA
rnacentral:rRNA from 1 species